GAAAGAGAAAGCACCUACUAAAAACGAAACGCCAAGAGACGCCGCCACCUCUCCCGAUUCUCAGCGCCGCCAUCCACCGCCCCCUCUCACUCAGACCGCGCCGCCGGCCAUGGCCUCCGUCGCUCCCCCACAGCCGCCGCCGCCCUCCCUUGCCCUACCUUCAUCCUCAUCAGAAGAGAAGAGAAGAGAAGCAAAGAGGAAGGGAGAUGGAGGGAGCAGGAGCAGGAGCAGGUCCCAGAUCCAUCCGCCACGGCCGUCCUCGACCUGGUGGAGCUCCAUCCCUACUCAAAUCGCCAGCGGCCGUGCGUGAGGAGAGGGAUAACUGUUUGCGGGGAUCUCAUCAGUUUUGUAGCCAUCUAUUCAUGUCGCUUAACCAUUGUGGUUAUCUAUUUAGGCAAGUUAAAAAGGUUGUGUCAUGCUUGCUGCUGCCCCAUGAUUAUCUGUUUGUUAUUUUGUACCAAGUGGAUACUGACCACAUCAGUUUUCAUCAUUUACAUUUAUAUGGUUAAAUGAAUGAAGCUUUAGUUGAUCAACAAGUGUGUGCCUGAAACCCAAACUUGUACGCCCUCCGAUCCAAAUUAAGUGUCGUGGUUUUAGUUUGAACUAAAGCCACGCCACUUAUUUUGGAUCGCAGGGAGUACAUGUGUUUCUUUCUGCUGAAUGAUUUCCCUGCUAAUGGUACAUCAAGUGCAGGGGCAUCUGGGAUUUAAGCUAUUGUUUCAGCUUAUGAUAGCUGAACCAAUAAUACUGAGCAUUUUGAAGGCCGUGUACUUUACUGAAUAUAGUCAAGGAGAAAUGUGGUUUUGUAAUUUAAAAAUACAUCUGCUCCAGUCCCUUGAUAGUUGAAUAUUUUCUUGUUGUACUGCCUUUGAUCCUCUAGGACCUCGUCAAAAGAAAUGAUGCUCCUGUGAGCAUAGUUGUGAUUUUUUUUUUGAGGAAGAGCAUAUUUGUGAUUGCGACAGCAGGCAUGCCAUGGCGGCGGACACAUCCACGCCGGGGAGAGGACCUGCUCGUGCUCGUGAUAAGACCAACGCCAUUGAGCUGGGGCAGGUGCACGCGCGAGUGGGGCAUCCAUCACCAGCGGUAAGACCAGCAGACCAGCAGCGCCAUUCGCACGGUGAAGGCCAGAAGCUGCCCACGCCAUGGAAGGAGUGGACAUGGAUGGAGUGGAACGCCGCAUUCAACUUCUCCUCCACCACUGAUCCCACAUUGCUCGUCCAACUGCAUGAAUCAAGGGGUUUUGCAGAUGCAGAGAAGAGAAGGGAAGCGAAGAUGGAGGGAGAUCGAGCGAGCAGGAGCACGAGCAGGUCCCAGAUCCAUCCGCCACGGCCGUCCUCGACCUGGUGGAGCUCCAUCCCUACUCAAAUCGCCAGCGGCCGUGCGUGAGGAGAGGGCUGCCUGCUCCGUGCCAAUCCUCUCUUCCUACCCUCCCCUCCCCUCACCUCCCCUCCGGCGGCUGCCAGAUCGACGGAUUCGACAAGGGCCUCGAAGGAGAUGCUCGCUUCUGCUCGGCCGUUGCCCACGCUGUGCUUCUGCUCGCUCGCGACGCCGCUGGUGCAAGCACACAAACACAACCAUCCUUGUUGCUGGCCCUACCUUGGAGGCUUAGGACGCAGAUUGGGCGUGUGUAAUUAGGACUAGGAUGCACAUUUCAUACCACCAUGGUUAUCUGUUUAGGCAAGUUUAAAAGGUUGCAUCAUGCUUGCUGCUACCCCAUGAUUAUCUAUCUAUUAUUUUGUACCAAGUGGAUAUAUAUUGUUUGACUAAAUCAGUUUUCACCGUAUGCAUUUAUAUGGUUAAAUGAAGCUUUAGUUGAUCAACAAGUGUGUUCCUGAAACCCAAACUUGUACUCCCUCCGAUCCAAAUUAAGUGUCAUGGUUUUAGUGUUUCUCUUUGAUUUCAAUGGUAAUGGUACAUCAAGUGCAGGGGCAUCUGGGAUUUUUUGUUCAAAACUAAAACAGACCAGUGGUUUUAGUUCAAAACUAAAACAGACCAGAAAUGUUUGAUCUUCGAAAUCUACACACAACGAAGUCAUCUUAAUAAUGGGCCUCAACUAAAACGAAUUUUUUGAACUCUGGCUGUCAGGUGUGGAAACCCCUGGGUCCUAUUGGUUCUUUCUUUUGAACUCUGUAGUUUUUUUCUCGGCCGGUCUUAUUGCUGUUUUAUGGUAAGAUCAUGGUUGAUGCAGAUGAGUGGGCACAAAAAUUUGUGGGUAGUUUUUGUCAGAGGCGACUGUGAUGUCGCACUUUAUUCACCAUGGAGAUCUGAUUGCACACUUGAUAAUACUCUUGCACUCUCUUCUUUUUUCUGUUUUUCUCUUCCCAUUUUGGAUUCCUUAGAUGAGGUUGCAGGUAUUUUGUUGAUGGGCGGCAUGAUGUCCAAUGAAUCAUGUAUUAGCCUUCUCCUGAUCAUAUUCCCCAUAGAUUUCUAUUCUUUCAUUCCAGAGAAGAACCCCUGAUUACCUGCUUUCCUUGUUUAGUUCGAUGGUUCAUAGCUUUUUUGUUGUUGAAAGGGUCUUUGCAGAUGCAGACAAGGCGACAAAAGUUUAUUUGGAAUUUGCAUCUGAGGCAUUUGUGUCAUGUCACACUCUUUUUCACCUGGAGAUCCGAUGCAUCCCUGCCACUGAUGUCUUAUGCGUUCGUAGUACCUUUUUCUUUUGGGCUUCCAUGUGCUGGAGAUGAGUCCCUAUUUGUUUGAUUGGCUGAUAUGAUGGCCUAAAUACUAAACCAAACAUGAUCAUCCUCUCUUGGCUAGCCUCAUGACGACGUUAUUUCCCUUGCUCUGUUUUUGGUACAUUUAUUCAACGAAUGGUAUUUUUGAGUUCAGUAUGAGAUGAUCAAUGAUUAAUUUAUCUAUCGGUUUGAUAGGUCAACAUGAUGGCCUAAAUAUGGAACUGGAUUGCGCGUUGAGCGGCUCGGAGCUACGGCAGGAAGGAGCUGAAGCCGGAGUGGGAAGUUGUUCACUGCCGUUGACCGCGCCCUCUGAGGUGUGCCCUUGAGAACCAAGAUGCUGACAAGGACGCACCUCAGAUCAGCAUUGUUGUCGGGUGUUCCUUUGGGAACCACGGUGUGGAGGCUCCGCCUUCUGGCAUGUCUCUGGCCUGCGAAGCAGCACUCUGAUGCCCCCUGCGCGGCUUCCUGAGUGGUCGCUUCUUCUUUGACUCCGGCCUGCAUAGGCCAGCAUGAUGUCUUAAAUACUGAACCGAAUGGCGCGUUAAGCGGGGUAUUGUAUCUCGGCCGGAAGGAGCCGCAACUGCAGUGGGGUGUUUUUCACUGCCGCUGACCGCGCCCUCCUAGGCGUGCGGUUGGGAACCAAGCCGUCGGCAAGGCCGCAAUACAUAGCAGCGUUGUUGUCGGGCGUGCCCUCGGCGACCACAACCUGGAGACGAUGCCAUCCAACACGACUCUUGCCGGCGAAGCAACACUCCGAUGGCUCCCGCUCUGCUUCUCCGGUGUUGACUCCAGCAAAGGUAAGCAACCCGGUUCCUAUUCCUCUGCUUUCUCUGUUGCUCUGCAUGCCACCGCCACUAUUGUUUCAUUGGCCAACACCAUGGCCUAAAUACUGAACAAAAUCUGACCAUCCUCCCUGAUUCAAUACAUAAGUACUGGAAUUGUUAAGCUCUAGCUAGUUUGAAAAAUGUUGGAAUUUUUAAUUGCAGAAUGGUACAGAAAGUGGUUCAAUGAAAUUUUAAAUCAAACUUGAAAUGUUAGAUUUUUGAAUUGAAAUCUACACAACACGAAGUGAUCUUAUUAAUGGAACGAACCAUUUGUCGGGCUGUCAGGCAUGGAAGGCCCUAGGCCAUGCCCCUAAUGCUUCUUUUGAAGCCUGUAGGUUUUCCCUCGUUCUUAUUGCUGUUUACUGGGAAGAGCAUUGUUGAUCCAGCUGAGGCGACACAAAGUUUAUGGGUAAUUUUCCCUCUGUUGAGGCAACCUUGUGAUGUCGCACUCUUUUCACCUUGGACAUCUGAUGCAUUCUUGAUAAUAUUCUCUUUCUUUCUGUUUAUUUUCCCUAUUUUUGACCCCUUAGACAAGUAUGAAAUUAUUUGGUUGAUGGACAAAAUGAUGUCCAGUGAAUCAUGUAUUUGCUCUGUCUGAUCAUAUUCCAUAUUGAGUUCUAUCCGUUCUUUCAGAGGAGAAGAACCCCUGGUUACUUGUUUUUCUUCUUCAGUUUGAUGGCUCAUAACAUUGUGGGUAGUUUGCGUCUAAGGCGACUUUGUGAUGUCGCACUUUAUUCACCUUAGAGAUUCGAUGCACCCUUGAUAUUACUCUCGCGUUGUGUUCUUUCUUUCUUUCUUUCUUGCUGUUUUUCUUAUUUUGGAUUCCCAGAUGAGGUUGCUAGUAUUUUGUUGAUGGACGACAUGAUGCCAAUGAAUUAUGUAUUAGCUUUUUCCCUGGUCAUAUUCCCCACUGAAUUCUAUUCUUUAAUUCCAUAGAAGAAGAACCCCUGAUUACCUGCUUCACUUGUUUAGUUCGAUGGUUCGUAACUUUUUUGUUUGUUGAAAGGGGUGUUGCAGAUGCAGACGACACAACACAAGUUUGUGGCUAAUUUUUAUCUGAGGCAUUUAUGUGAUGUGAUGGUUUUUUUCACCUUGGAGAUCCAAUGCAUCCCCGCCACUGAUGUCUUCUGUCUUUGUAUUAAUACAUGCAUGAGGAGCCUCCUACUGGAUUUCAUACAUGCAUGUGGUUCGGAUUAGGGAUAAUCUUAAAAUUUGAGCAGUAGAGCUGCCCUGUGACGGGAGAUGGCCAUCGAGGGCCGGAGCCAGGAUUUGAAGAUGACCGCCUCCAAUAUAGUUAUUUUUCAUUGGAUUAGAUUAUCCACAUGUUCAACGAUGGUACUUGUAGAGCAAAAAAAAUCAAACUAAUAGAAAUGUACCUUUUUCUUUGCAUUACAGAAAUAUGUGCCGGGACAUCCAUACAAGUGCUAUUUUUAGACUAUACUCUUGUGAUGCAUCUCUUGAGCAAUUGUUAUUUUUCUCGC